rnacentral:sRNA from 1 species
UAGUAAAUACGGUGGUGCAGUAUUCUAGUCAGUGAUGCCGCUUCUGAAAACGGGCCUAAAAAUCCGUUAAGGGCACAUCGAUGAAGUUUCUGGUGUUUGCUUUCGACGCCCAGUCGGGGGUUGAUGCUGGGAGUUAAGGGGGCCGGGCGAUCCGCAAUGGCAUGCGGGCGUUGACCCGUCCCUCGUGGAGACCUAAACGGGUGGUCAACCCAUUGACUACUCCUUAGGAUAAAACCUGUAAUGCGGGAUUGACUGUGUACAGAGUAGCCUGCCGUGCGUGGUGUCGGUGGAUUUCGGAACACGCUCCAAACGUUUGGCCAAACGCGAGGCGCGAUUGCCGGAUGAAACCCAUGCUGCAAAAGCGGCUAGGAACCGGCAAAGCUGUUGAGGAAAGCUCCUAGACUGUUACUGCUUCAAGCAUUGGUUCUUGAGCGAGUUGGCAUAUUGAGGAUUACGGUGUGGCCUAAGUGGCGAUCCAGUUCCGGGUAUGGCGACAUACCGGCAGAGGUCAUAAAGGGAAACCGCUCCUUCGGCGACGGGGAGUGACCUCCGGGGAAAUCCUACUGGACCUAAGCUGCAAAGUCUACUCAAUAUGCCACCACCAGUUU